GUUUUUCCUCCCAGAAGCUGAGCGGACAUCAUGUGGAGAGAAACCGCGUCAGCCGCCGACUCGCAUUCAUCAACAACAAAACUUAGAUUUAAAAUAAAGAACAAGAGAAGAAAAUCCAGAAAUCAAAAGUAUGAAAACAAAACAGUCCUCCUCCCUCUGCAGCCAUGAAAUGCUGUUACCUCGACGCGUCUGAGUGCAAUCAUGUGUAAAGUAGCAGCCCGUCCUCUGGGCUCCAGUCCUCCGCCGGCGCCGCGUCCAAUUCCACGUAUUAAUAACACAAUACAAGCCACCAUUCCAGAUUAUUUUUAUCUGACCACGACUUCAGCUGAUUGGCUGGAAUGAAGUUUGGUUUCCAUGUGAUUUCUCUCUUCUGCUCUCCAUCAAGUCCAGAAACUGCUACCAGUUUGACCUUUGGCCUCGGGACAAAUCAUCGUUCUCAACAUCAACUUUGUAACUGACGGCCAUCUUGGUAGGCAGUUGCUGUGGAGUUGCUAUGACAACAAUAGAACCAGCUCUCAUCUCGUUCCUAUCCAACUUAUAAACAAUAUAAAUACAUGUCUGAGUCCUCUACCCUGCUCUGUGCAGCACUAAGAUAAAUAUCAGUGACAUGCUGUAGUACUUACUGCCAGGCUAGCAGAAUUAGCCUCGCUAACGUAACGGACAUGUAGCCUACGUGUUUGUUACAUGUACGUCACCAGAACCUUAUUAUUCACCUGCAGAGUUCCUGCUUUCUUUAGAAGUCCAUCACCAUGACUCCAUGGUUAACACUCUGUGUUGAGUCUUUAAUCGGAGGCAGCUUGUCCACAUCGUCUAAUAUGUCUAUUCAAGUCGGCCAUUUUGUUCACGUAUCUGUCUCUUACAUAUUUUCUGUCUGUUGCUCUGGAAGCCAUGAUGCUUUGCGCUGCUCUUGCCUACCAAGAUGGCGCGGAUCACUUCCGGUUGGAAACGCGCCUCCUGCCGUUUCCCUCUGUUCUCAUCGGACGUCCAUGUCUUAAGGAGAAACUUUUUGAAAACAGACUUCCACCUCCGGGGAAACAUGGCGGACAACCAAACGGAUGUAACGAUUAAAAGCCGUUAUGAUGCGGCUUCCUCCUCUC